AGAUGUUAAAAGCAAGAGACAUGGGAGAGCAUCAUUCCUUUGAGAUUUUAUAACUCAAACCAACUUUGGAGUUGUCUGAUUUGGAGAGUCAUUAUUCUUGGUCUUCGCUCUUAGAGGCCACUGAUGAAGAACAGGCGGUGACUGGGAUGAAUCCUGGUCAGAGAGGAGAAUCUUCUUUCCCCUAAACAGCAGUGGUUUUAAAGGAGGACGCUGCCCUGGAUGAUGUAGAAGAUGUCACAUGCUGUGCUGAUGGGGUUUCUUCAUGAUUACAUCAGUUAUGCUAAAGAGAUCAUGAAAAUUGACCGUGAUGCAUGAUCUGUAUUCAUGGACUAUGAAACAAACUGUAAGUGUAUAAUUUGUUAAGAAAAAAAAGUUAAAUGCUUUUUCUGUGUUGUUUAGUAGAAGAGUUUACACUCUGUCAUUCAUACACCUGCUCACAUUCUUUCACACACACACACACAUGCGUCUGUUAAAUGUUAGAAUAUCAAAGUUAAUGUUGUGAUUUAUUUGUGUACUCUCAUGCCAGAAUAGUUGGAAAAAAACCUAACUAAUUGUAAAUUUAUUGUAUGUGUUUUCGUAUAUUUUUAUACAAUAUAUACAAUUGAACAAAGUCCAAUUUGAUCUUAAGUUAUAUUCAUCAAAUGUUCAAUGCUUUAUUUAUGAACUCUGUAGCUGUUAAUGCCAUCCUUUUCUGCAUUUCUUCUAACAUGUUACUUUUUGACUUUUUUCUUGUUUUUAAUAAAUAUUUUCCUUUUGAUAAUUAUUAUUUGUGUGUAAAAGUGAUAUUUAAAAUGAACAACAUUUGUAGGUUUAAUGCCUAGCUCAAUUUGGGUUAAUUUUAACGUAGAAAUGCAUUGUUUCCCCACAUGGCUGCACUCUGCGAGUUUAUUUUCUGCCAGCAGGAGGCGCUAAGAGCGGGAGAGGUAGGUUUCUCCGGUAACGGCUGCAGAGCGGUGCUGAGCUCACAAACGCUGCCUUAUCAAGCACAUGCGAAAUGAUAUCGAACAUUUUCUAAAUAUAGUAGUUUUCCUUCUGAAAUACAGUGAUAAAAAAACACCCGCUCUGUUUUUUUAAACCCUGCAAUAUAGUCAUUUUAAACCAUAAAAAAGGCAACCCAGCAGGCUGGGUUAAAUAUGAUAACCCAACUGGUUGGGUUAAAACAACCCAGCGCUGGGUUCGUCCCUUUUUGACCCAGCGCUGGGUUGUCAAAAUAACCCAAAUUGGGUUGUUUUCAACCCA